rnacentral:rRNA from 1 species
AGUGAACGCUGGCGGUAGGCCUAACACAUGCAAGUCGAACGGCAGCACAGUAAGAGCUUGCUCUUACGGGUGGCGAGUGGCGGACGGGUGAGGAAUACAUCGGAAUCUACUUUUUCGUGGGGGAUAACGUAGGGAAACUUACGCUAAUACCGCAUACGACCUACGGGUGAAAGCAGGGGAUCUUCGGACCUUGCGCGAUUAAAUGAGCCGAUGUCGGAUUAGCUAGUUGGCGGGGUAAAGGCCCACCAAGGCGACGAUCCGUAGCUGGUCUGAGAGGAUGAUCAGCCACACUGGAACUGAGACACGGUCCAGACUCCUACGGGAGGCAGCAGUGGGGAAUAUUGGACAAUGGGCGCAAGCCUGAUCCAGCCAUACCGCGUGAGUGAAGAAGGCCUUCGGGUUGUAAAGCCCUUUUGUUGGGAAAGAAAAGCAGCAGGUUAAUACCCCGCUGUUCUGACGGUACCCAAAGAAUAAGCACCGGCUAACUUCGUG